ACUCCUACGGGAGGCAGCAGUGGGGAAUUUUGGACAAUGGGCGAAAGCCUGAUCCAGCCAUGCCGCGUGCAGGAUGAAGGCCUUCGGGUUGUAAACUGCUUUUGCACGGAACGAAAAGCCUCUUUCUAAUAAAGAGGGGUCAUGACGGUACCGUAAGAAUAAGCACCGGCUAACUACGUGCCAGCAGCCGCGGUAAUACGUAGGGUGCAAGCGUUAAUCGGAAUUACUGGGCGUAAAGCGUGCGCAGGCGGUUUUGUAAGACAGAGGUGAAAUCCCCGGGCUCAACCUGGGAACUGCCUUUGUGACUGCAAGGCUGGAGUGCGGCAGAGGGGGAUGGAAUUCCGCGUGUAGCAGUGAAAUGCGUAGAUAUGCGGAGGAACACCGAUGGCGAAGGCAAUCCCCUGGGCCUGCACUGACGCUCAUGCACGAAAGCGUGGGGAGCAAACAGGAUUAGAUACCCUGGUAGUCCACGCCCUAAACGAUGAGAACUAGCCGUCUGGAGUCUUCGUGCUCUGGGUGGCGCAGCUAACGCGUGAAGUUCUCCGCCUGGGGAGUACGGCCGCAAGGUUAAAACUUAAAGGAAUUGACGG
rnacentral:rRNA from 1 species